rnacentral:rRNA from 1 species
AAAGAAAAGUCUCGUGGGGAGUCUACAGGGUGUCCGUACCGCAAACCGACACAGGUGGGUGAGGAGAAAAUCCUAAGGCGAUUGAGAGAACUCUCUCCAAGGAACUCGGCAAAUUACCACCGUAACUUCGGAAGAAGGUGGGCCCUCCGUAGGUGUAGUCGUACAGACGAAGCCGAUGAGGGUUGCAGAGAAAUGGCGGUAGCGACUGUUUACCAAAAACACAGGACUCUGCGAAGACGACAAGUCGACGUAUAGGGUCUGACUCCUCCCGGUGCUGGAAGGUUAAGGGGAUUCGUCAGCCGCAAGGCGAAGCGAUGAUCCGAAGCCCCAGUAAACGGCGGCCGUAACAAUAACGGUCCUAAGGUAGCGAAAUUCCUUGUCGGGUAAGUUCCGACCUGCACGAACGGAGUAACGACUUCCGCGCUGUCUCGGAGAGGGACUCAGCGAAAUUGAAAUAGCUGUGCCGAUGCAGUUUACCCGCAGCAAGACGGAAAGACCCCGUGAACCUUUACUACAACUUGACAGUGACACUAGGGAUUGACUGUGUAGGAUAGGUGGGAGCCUUUGAAACCGGGCCGCUAGGUUCGGUGGAGGCAACGGUGAAAUACCACCCUGUUGAUUUCUGGUGUCUAACCGUGUCCCAUAAUCUGGGAUCGGGACACUGUCUGGUGGGUAGUUUGACUGGGGCGGUCGCCUCCCAAAGCGUAACGGAGGCGCGCGAUGGUUCCCUCAGCCCGGUUGGAAACCGGGCGGCGAGUGCAAUGGCAUAAGGGAGCUUAACUGCGAGACAGACAUGUCGAGCAGGUGCGAAAGCAGGUCAUAGUGAUCCGGUGGUUCUGAAUGGAAGGGCCAUCGCUCAACGGAUAAAAGGUACUCCGGGGAUAACAGGCUUAUCUCCUCCAAGAGUUCACAUCGACGAGGAGGUUUGGCACCUCGAUGUCGGCUCAUCGCAUCCUGGGGCUGGAGCAGGUCCCAAGGGUUUGGCUGUUCGCCAAUUAAAGCGGUACGCGAGCUGGGUUCAAAACGUCGUGAGACAGUUUGGUCCCUAUCUGCUGUGGGCGUAGGAUACUUGAGAGGAUCUGUCCUUAGUACGAGAGGACCGGGAUGGAGACACCUCUGGCGUACCAGUUGUCACGCCAGUGGCAUCGCUGGGUAGCCAUGUGUCGAUUGGAUAACCGCUGAAAGCAUCUAAGCGGGAAACCGACCUCAAGAAUAGGUAUCCCGGGGGAAACCCCCUGAAGACCCGUCGAAGACUACGACGUUGAUAGGCCGGGUGUGUAAGCGUGGCAACACGUUGAGCUAACCGGUACUAAUUGGUCGUGCGGCUUACUUCA